rnacentral:rRNA from 1 species
UACGGAGGAUGCAAGCGUUAUCCGGAAUGAUUGGGCGUAAAGAGCUCGUAGGCGGUGUGUCACGUCGGCCGUGAAAACCUGCAGCUUAACUGUGGGCGUGCGGUCGAUACGGGCAUCACUGGAGUUCGGCAGGGGAGACUGGAAUUCCUGGUGUAGCGGUGAAAUGCGCAGAUAUCAGGAGGAACACCAGUGGCGAAGGCGGCUCUCUGGGGUAUUUCUGACGCUGAGGCACGAAAGCCAGGGGAGCGAACGGG